rnacentral:rRNA from 1 species
UCAUUUAAAGAAAGCGUAAUAGCUCACUGGUCGAGUCGGCCUGCGCGGAAGAUGUAACGGGGCUAAACCAUGCACCGAAGCUGCGGCAGCGACACUAUGUGUUGUUGGGUAGGGGAGCGUUCUGUAAGCCUGCGAAGGUGACCUGUGAGGGUUGCUGGAGGUAUCAGAAGUGCGAAUGCUGACAUAAGUAACGAUAAAGCGGGUGAAAAGCCCGCUCGCCGGAAGACCAAGGGUUCCUGUCCAACGUUAAUCGGGGCAGGGUGAGUCGACCCCUAAGGCGAGGCCGAAAGGCGUAGUCGAUGGGAAACAGGUUAAUAUUCCUGUACUUGGUGUUACUGCGAAGGGGGGACGGAGAAGGCUAUGUUAGCCGGGCGACGGUUGUCCCGGUUUAAGCAUGUAGGCUGAUUAUCCAGGCAAAUCCGGAUAAUCAAGGCUGAGGUGUGAUGACGAGGCACUACGGUGCUGAAGUAACAAAUGCCCUGCUUCCAGGAAAAGCCUCUAAGCAUCAGGUAACAUUAAAUCGUACCCCAAACCGACACAGGUGGUCAGGUAGAGAAUACCAAGGCGCUUGAGAGAACUCGGGUGAAGGAACUAGGCAAAAUGGUGCCGUAACUUCGGGAGAAGGCACGCUGGUGUGUAGGUGAAGCCCCUGCGGGUGGAGCUGAGACCAGUCGAAGAUACCAGCUGGCUGCAACUGUUUAUUAAAAACACAGCACUGUGCAAACACGAAAGUGGACGUAUACGGUGUGACGCCUGCCCGGUGCCGGAAGGUUAAUUGAUGGGGUUAUCCGUAAGGAGAAGCUCUUGAUCGAAGCCCCGGUAAACGGCGGCCGUAACUAUAACGGUCCUAAGGUAGCGAAAUUCCUUGUCGGGUAAGUUCCGACCUGCACGAAUGGCGUAAUGAUGGCCAGGCUGUCUCCACCCGAGACUCAGUGAAAUUGAACUCGCUGUGAAGAUGCAGUGUACCCGCGGCAAGACGGAAAGACCCCGUGAACCUUUACUAUAGCUUGACACUGAACAUUGAGCCUUGAUGUGUAGGAUAGGUGGGAGGCUUUGAAGCGUGGACGCCAGUCUGCGUGGAGCCAACCUUGAAAUACCACCCUUUAAUGUUUGAUGUUCUAACGUUGGCCCCUGACCGGGGUUGCGGACAGUGUCUGGUGGGUAGUUUGACUGGGGCGGUCUCCUCCCAAAGCGUAACGGAGGAGCACGAAGGUUAGCUAAUCCUGGUCGGACAUCAGGAGGUUAGUGCAAUGGCAUAAGCUAGCUUGACUGCGAGCGUGACGGCGCGAGCAGGUGCGAAAGCAGGUCAUAGUGAUCCGGUGGUUCUGAAUGGAAGGGCCAUCGCUCAACGGAUAAAAGGUACUCCGGGGAUAACAGGCUGAUACCGCCCAAGAGUUCAUAUCGACGGCGGUGUUUGGCACCUCGAUGUCGGCUCAUCACAUCCUGGGGCUGAAGUAGGUCCCAAGGGUAUGGCUGUUCGCCAUUUAAAGUGGUACGCGAGCUGGGUUUAGAACGUCGUGAGACAGUUCGGUCCCUAUCUGCCGUGGGCGCUGGAGAAUUGAGGGGGGCUGCUCCUAGUACGAGAGGACCGGAGUGGACGCAUCACUGGUGUUCGGGUUGUCAUGCCAAUGGCACUGCCCGGUAGCUAAAUGCGGAAGAGAUAAGUGCUGAAAGCAUCUAAGCACGAAACUUGCCCCGAGAUGAGUUCU